rnacentral:rRNA from 1 species
GAUGAACGCUGGCGGCGUGCCUAAUACAUGCAAGUCGAGCGAACAGACGAGGAGCUUGCUCCUCUGACGUUAGCGGCGGACGGGUGAGUAACACGUGGAUAACCUACCUAUAAGACUGGGAUAACUUCGGGAAACCGGAGCUAAUACCGGAUAAUAUAUUGAACCGCAUGGUUCAAUAGUGAAAGACGGUUUUGCUGUCACUUAUAGAUGGAUCCGCGCCGCAUUAGCUAGUUGGUAAGGUAACGGCUUACCAAGGCAACGAUGCGUAGCCGACCUGAGAGGGUGAGCGGCCACACUGGAACUGAGACACGGUCCAGACUCCUACGGGAGGCAGCAGUAGGGAAUCUUCCGCAAUGGGCGAAAGCCUGACGGAGCAACGCCGCGUGAGUGAUGAAGGUCUUCGGAUCGUAAAACUCUGUUAUUAGGGAAGAACAAAUGUGUAAGUAACGAUGCACGUCUUGACGGUACCUAAUCAGAAAGCCACGGCUAACUACGU